AGGAAUAUUGGUCAAUGGACGCGAGUCUGAACCAGCCAAGUAGCGUGAAGGAUGACUGCCCUAUGGGUUGUAAACUUCUUUUAUAUGGGAAUAAAGUUGUCCACGUGUGGAUUUUUGUAUGUACCAUAUGAAUAAGGAUCGGCUAACUCCGUGCCAGCAGCCGCGGUAAUACGGAGGAUCCGAGCGUUAUCCGGAUUUAUUGGGUUUAAAGGGAGCGUAGGCGGAUUGUUAAGUCAGUUGUGAAAGUUUGCGGCUCAACCGUAAAAUUGCAGUUGAUACUGGCAGUCUUGAGUGCAGUAGAGGUGGGCGGAAUUCGUGGUGUAGCGGUGAAAUGCUUAGAUAUCACGAAGAACUCCGAUUGCGAAGGCAGCUCACUGGAGUGUAACUGACGCUGAUGCUCGAAAGUGUGGGUAUCAAACAGGAUUAGAUACCCUGGUAGUCCACACAGUAAACGAUGAAUACUCGCUGUUUGCGAUAUACAGUAAGCGGCCAAGCGAAAGCAUUAAGUAUUCCACCUGGGGAGUACGCCGGCAACGGUGAAACUCAAAGGAAUUGACGGGGGCCCGCACAAGCGGAGGAACAUGUGGUUUAAUUCGAUGAUACGCGAGGAACCUUACCCGGGCUUAAAUUGCAAAUGAAUUAUGGGGAAACCCAUACGCCGCAAGGCAUUUGUGAAGGUGCUGCAUGGUUGUCGUCAGCUCGUGCCGUGAGGUGUCGGCUUAAGUGCCAUAACGAGCGCAACCCUUAUCUUCAGUUACUAACAGGUUAUGCUGAGGACUCUGGAGAGACUGCCGUCGUAAGAUGUGAGGAAGGUGGGGAUGACGUCAAAUCAGCACGGCCCUUACGUCCGGGGCUACACACGUGUUACAAUGGGGGGUACAGAAGGCCGCUACCUGGUGACAGGAUGCCAAUCCCAAAAACCUCUCUCAGUUCGGAUCGAAGUCUGCAACCCGACUUCGUGAAGCUGGAUUCGCUAGUAAUCACGCAUCAGCCAUGGCGCGGUGAAUACGUUCCCG
rnacentral:rRNA from 1 species